rnacentral:rRNA from 1 species
ACGUAGGUGGCGAGUGUUGUUCGGAAUCACUGGGCAUAAAGGGUGCGUAGGCGGGAAAUCAAGCAGGAUGUGAAAUCCUAUGGCCCAACCAUAGAAUUGCAUUCUGAACUGGUUUUCUUGAGUGCAGCAGGGGAGUGCGGAAUUCCCGGUGUAGGGGUGAAAUCUAUAGAUAUCGGGAAGAACACCGGUCGCGAAGGCGGCACUCUGGGCUGUAACUGACGCUGAGGCACGAAAGCGUGGGUAUCGAACCG